CCACGAGAUCCGUGCCGCAGCUAACGCAUUAAGUUCCCCGCCUGGGGAGUACGGCCGCAAGGCUAAAACUCAAAGGAAUUGACGGGGGCCCGCACAAGCGGCGGAGCAUGCGGAUUAAUUCGAUGCAACGCGAAGAACCUUACCAAGGCUUGACAUAUGCGAGAACGCGGCAGAGAUGUCGUUCUCUUUGGACACUCGCAUACAGGUGGUGCAUGGUUGUCGUCAGCUCGUGUCGUGAGAUGUUGGGUUAAGUCCCGCAACGAGCGCAACCCUCGUUCUAUGUUGCCAGCACGUGAUGGUGGGGACUCAUAGGAGACUGCCGGGGUCAACUCGGAGGAAGGUGGGGAUGACGUCAAAUCAUCAUGCCCCUUAUGUCUUGGGCUUCACGCAUGCUACAAUGGCCGGUACAAAGGGCUGCGAUACCGCGAGGUGGAGCGAAUCCCAAAAAACCGGUCUCAGUUCGGAUUGGGGUCUGCAACUCGACCCCAUGAAGUCGGAGUCGCUAGUAAUCGCAGAUCAGCAACGCUGCGGUGAAUACGUUCCCGGGCCUUGUACACACCGCCCGUCAAGUCACGAAAGUCGGUAACACCCGAAGCCGGUGGCCCAACUCUUUGAGAGGGAGCCGUCGAA
rnacentral:rRNA from 1 species